GUUGAAGACGACGACGUUGAUAGGCCGGAUGUGUAAGCGCAGCGAUGCGUUGAGCUAACCGGUACUAAUGAACCGUGAGGCUUAACCUUACAACGCCGAAGCUGUU
rnacentral:rRNA from 1 species